rnacentral:tRNA from 1 species
AAGGGUGGAGCUCAGUGGUAGAGUGCAUGCUUAGCAUGCACAAGGUCCUGGGUUCACUCCCCAGUACCUUUA